UGAUGUUGAAGCCAGUCAGUCACGCUACUUGUGGGAGAUGUCAAAUGUUCAGGAUUAUGGUAAAGUGCUAACAAAAUUCAUUUCCAGCCUAGACUCAGAUCAGACUUUAGCAUUUAAGAUGCCAUGGUCUAGAGCUCACUCAGAUGCUGGAAGUGGUGUGCCUGCAGUAGUGUAGAGCUCUACACUGUGGAGCGUAACAGCAACCAAAGUGCACUCGACCAGUUUUAACAUUGUGGCUUGUUAGCUAUAUUGUUUUUUCCUCACGUGCUUUCUUAUAAAUCUGGUGUAAUGUUUCUAGGCUGUGGCUUGCCUUAUAUAAAAUUUACAUGCUAGAUUUAGUGUUGCAGAGACAUUGGAGAGCUCCAGACGGAAGUGGGAAUAAAAUGUAUCUUACUAUUUAAGAGAUGUUGUUUUCUGAACCGACUGUAUACAUGAUACAAGUGUUAAACAUGUUUGGCUGCUGAAAUUGGAUUUUUAUUCUUGUGGGUUGUUGUUUUUUGGUCAAAUUCUUCAUUGCUUCUUUGGAGGCAGAAGUUCAGAACUAGGUAUAAGGAAUAAUAACCUUGUCAGUAAUCUUUUUUUAACAGCUGGAAACAUGGAAUUGUAGUGUGAAAUCAAGUAAUAAUGAUAAUUUAAAAGAUAAUUGAGAAAAUGAGCCUAAAUGCAUCACAGUACCGCUGGCAAUUUUUACCUAAUCAUGCACGCAUCUGAGUACUGCAAUGCUACAGUAGUUAAAAAAAACAUAAAGUAUGUAGUAGUUGGGUUUAGACUAUUCUGUCUGCUAAAGGAUUCUUUAAAUCUACAAAUUUGCAUUGUUUGAUUAGCAGAAUGCAGAGUGCUUCUGUGGCUUGAAGAUUUUGUGUCCAGUGGCAGCAACAGAACGGAACCUCCUAAGUGAAGAGUUCUUUGGAGGACUAUAAAAUCAGACUGAAAGCCAAAUUGCAUGAGAAAGAAGAAAAGACAGCACUAGAGCUCAUAUGUAACUGCCUAAUCUGCCAGAUGUCUGAAUAUUCCCUGAUUAAAAAAUACGUGUGCUUUACUUGCAAACAUUUUAAAAAUCUGGGAAGUGCUUUUGAGUGGUAGCCCCUUCUUUGUGGGCUAUCUGCAAAGGUUUGAGGUUUGCCUAUAGCUUCUGUGAGUAAAGUUCUGGUGUCUUGUCCUGGGUAGUAUUUUUGGCUCUUACAAAAGAUAAUUAAUAUAUAUAUAUAUAUUUAUGUACAGUUCUUUUUUGGGUAGUGCCUUGUGAGAAAUAUAAGGAUGCCACAUUACCAUAACCCUUGCAUAGCAGGUCAGGAGAUUCCCUGAACACCAUGCCCUCCUGGCUGCCUGUGCCAUAGGGGCUGUGCAUGUAGAUGCUCGUGAACUCUGCUGACUCUUGGGCCUGAAGCUUCCUAAAGCAUCGGCAGCACAUCCAGGCCUGUGUUCUGGCAUGGGGGAGAUAAAGCAGUGGUUUUGCACCUUACUGGUGUGCUCCAGCCUGACUUAAGGGGAACAGUAACAGAGGCAGGCUAUGGCAAGGGGCACUGGCUGUCCUCCCAGGCAGGAAUAUAAACAUGCCUUGGGGGUGGUUAGAGAUUUGAAGAUGACAAGAGAAAAGGCUUCUGCUUAUAUUCCCUGCCAACCCUUUAGGUAGUAGAAAGAAACACAAAUUAGGCAGUGCUACAGAGCACAUCACAGUGCCUUGGGAGGUACUGGCAACACCAGAGCUCCAUCCACCGUUCCUUCAAACUACUCAUAG